rnacentral:rRNA from 1 species
CACGUAGGGUGCAAGCGUUGUCCGGAUUUAUUGGGCGUAAAGAGCUCGUAGGUGGCUCGGUAAGUCGGGUGUGAAAUUUCGAGGCUCAACCUCGAAACGCCACCUGAUACUGCUGUGGCUAGAGUCCGGUAGGGGAGCGUGGAAUUCCUGGUGUAGCGGUGAAAUGCGCAGAUAUCAGGAGGAACACCAGCGGCGAAGGCGGCGCUCUGGGCCGGUACUGAC